UGGGGAAUAUUGCACAAUGGGCGCAAGCCUGAUGCAGCCAUGCCGCGUGUAUGAAGAAGGCCUUCGGGUUGUAAAGUACUUUCAGCGGGGAGGAAGGGAGUAAAGUUAAUACCUUUGCUCAUUGACGUUACCCGCAGAAGAAGCACCGGCUAACUCCGUGCCAGCAGCCGCGGUAAUACGGAGGGUGCAAGCGUUAAUCGGAAUUACUGGGCGUAAAGCGCACGCAGGCGGUUUGUUAAGUCAGAUGUGAAAUCCCCGGGCUCAACCUGGGAACUGCAUCUGAUAAUGGCAAGCUUGAGGCUCGUAGAGGGGGGGAGAAUUCCAGGUGUAGCGGUGAAAAGCGUAGAGAUCUGGAGGAAUACCGGUGGCGAAGGCGGCCCCCUGGGAGAAGACUGACGCUCAGGUGCGAAAGCGUGGGGAGCAAACAGG
rnacentral:rRNA from 1 species